UCUCCCCACCUCACAUAUCUCAAUCCUCAACCAAACCUACCCUGAAACCAACCAAAUUUUGGAUGGUUACUGUAAUGGAUUAGUUGAAUCAACUGAUACCCUAUCAACCUCUUCUUUUUUAGGUUUUGAUUUCUUUUUCCCCUUCCUUUCUGGUUUGAUC